AUGGACAUGAUUUACACCCCAGCUUUUAUCCUCCUGUUCUUGAUUUCCUUCUGCCAAUCCGAUGAUCGCCUAACACCCACAAAACCACUCUCCCCCGACGACAUGCUUAUCUCAAGCGGUGGCAUCUUCACUCUUGGCUUCUUCUCCCCAACAAACUCAACUGCAAACUCGUACAUCGGCAUAUGGUACAACAACAUCCCGCAGCGAACAUACGUGUGGGUCGCGAACCGCGACAGCCCAAUCACCAGCAGUUCCUUUGGUAAGUUUGUUGUGACCAACAACUCUGAUCUUACCUUGUUAGACCCCAAAGAAACUCUUUGGACAACCACGAACAACAUCACCACCACCGAAGCCACCGGAACUGCUGCUAUACUGCUUGACACCGGGAACUUGGUCAUCCGGUUGCCGAACGGCACAGAUAUACAGAGCUUUUAUUACCCAACCGACACCAUCCUCCCUAACAUGACUGCACCAUUGAGCAGCAAAAAUGAGGGCUACAAGCGCCUUGUCGCUUGGAGGGGACCUGAUGACCCGUCCACAAGCGACUACUCCAUGGGAAGUGACUCCAGCUCGGUCCUCCAGGUCUUCAUCUGGAAUGGGACGAGACCAUACUGGCGCAGAGCUGCUUGGACUGGUGCGCUUGUCAACGUCGUGUAUCGAAGCAACACCGGCACCAUCAUAUUCCAAACAAUUGAAAGAAGAGGGGCCGAGUUCUACGUAACGUACACCGUCUCCGAUGGCUCACCAAGUAUGCGUGUGAUGCUGCACUAUACGGGCAUGGUGAAGUUCAUGACAUGGAACAGCAACUCAUUGUCUUGGGAUGCUUUCGUGGAGCAGCCCAGUGCUAAGUGUGAUAGAUAUGAUUCAUGUGGCCCAUUUGGCUACUGUGAUGGCACCGGAGCGAUUCCAACUUGCAAGUGCCUCGAUGGGUUUGAGUCUGAUGGCCUCAACUUUUCCCAAGGAUGUCAAAGGAAGAAAGAGCUGAAAUGUGAUGGUACAGAUAGUUUCAUAACUUUACCUGGCAUGAAAACGCCUGACAAGUUUCUGUACAUCAGGAAUAGAAGCUUCGACCAAUGCACAACAGAAUGCAGCAGCAACUGCUCAUGCACCGCUUACGCAUAUGCCAACGUGAGUAGUCUGGACACAAUUGGAGAUAGUUCGAGGUGCUUGGUUUGGAUGGGGGAGCUUGUUGACACUCGGAAGCCUGCUGGUGGUAUUACUGAAAAUCUUUACCUCCGUAUUUCCAGCUCAUCCGUUGAUGAGAAAAAGAUAGCUAAACUGAAGAUUGUACUCCCGAUUGUGGCAUGUCUGUUGAUAUUCACAUGCAUAUACCUUGGAUGCAAGUCAAGAGGUAAAAGCAGCAGAAAAGUUCAAAACAAACAUAAGCUAAAACACUUGAAUGCUUCUGAUGAACUUGGGAACGAAGAUACAGAACUUCCGUCUGUUGGCUUUGAAGAUAUUCUCAUUGCAACAAACUAUUUCUCUGAUCACAACAUGCUUGGAAAAGGUGGUUUUGGAAAAGUCUACAAGGGAAUGUUGGAAAGUGGCAAGGAAAUUGCUGUCAAAAGUCUUAGUAUUGGAUCUGGGAAAGGGGUUAGAGAGUUUAGGAAUGAAGUAGUUCUAAUUGCCAAAUUGCAGCACAGAAACUUAGUUAGACUUCUUGGUUACUGCAUUCAUGAAGAUGAGAAAUUACUCAUCUACGAAUACUUACAUAACAAGAGUUUGGAUGCCUUCCUUUUUGAUGCUACAAAAAAAUCUGUGCUUGAUUGGUUGACCCGGUUCAUGGUCAUUAAAGGGAUAGCAAGAGGCCUUCUUUAUCUCCACAAAGAUUCAAGAUUAACAAUAGUUCAUCGAGAUCUCAAGGCAAGCAACAUCUUGUUGGAUGCAAAAAUGACUCCAAAAAUAUCUGAUUUUGGCAUGGCAAGGAUCUUUGGAGGAAACGAGAAACAAGCAAACACUAAGCGUGUUGUUGGGACAUAUGGUUACAUGUCUCCUGAAUAUGCGAUGGAGGGUUACUUUUCUGUCAAGUCUGACACCUACAGCUUUGGGGUUCUGCUGUUCGAGAUUGCAUGGAGCUUAUGGGUUGACGGAAAUGCAAGGGAAUUGGUGGAGUCGUCGGUUGUAGAGAGAUGUCCACUUGAUGAAGUUUUACGAUGUGUUCACAUAGGACUCUUGUGUGUUCAAAACCAUCCAAAUGCUAGGCCACUCAUGUCAUCCAUUGUGUUCAUGCUAGAGAAUGAAACAGCUCCGCUUCCCAGAGAAACAGUAUAUUUUACGUUACGGAAUCAUGAAGCCGAAGACAGGAGAAAAUACAUGGGAAGAUCCGAGACUCAGAAUGAAAUGACCAUCACAACACUGAAGGGACGAUAA
rnacentral:rRNA from 1 species